UACGUAGGGGGCAAGCGUUGUCCGGAUUUAUUGGGCGUAAAGAGCGUGUAGGCGGCCUGACAGGUCUGCUGUGAAACUCGAGGCUCAACCUCGAGAUGUCGGCGGAAACCGUCUGGCUAGAGUCCGGAAGAGGAGAGUGGAAUUCCUGGUGUAGCGGUGAAAUGCGCAGAUAUCAGGAAGAACACCCGUGGCGAAGGCGGCUCUCUGGUACGUGACUGACGCUGAGACGCGAAAGCGUGGGGAGCAAACAGG
rnacentral:rRNA from 1 species